GACGAACGCUGGCGGCGUGCUUAACACAUGCAAGUCGAACGGUAAGGCCCUUCGGGGUACACGAGUGGCGAACGGGUGAGUAACACGUGGGUGAUCUGCCCUGCACUUCGGGAUAAGCCUGGGAAACUGGGUCUAAUACCGGAUAGGACCCUGGGAUGCAUGUCCUGGGGUGGAAAGCUUGUGCGGUGUGGGAUGGGCCCGCGGCCUAUCAGCUUGUUGGGGGGGUGAUGGCCUACCAAGGCGACGACGGGUAGCCGGCCUGAGAGGGUUACCUGCCACACUGGGACGUAGAUACGGCCCAGACUCCUACGGGAGGCAGCAGUGGGGAAUAUUGGACAAUGGGCGCGAGCCUGAUGCAGCGAAGCCGCGUGAGGGGUGACGGCCUUCGGGUUGUAAACCUCUUUCAGCACCGACGAAGCGCAAGUGACGGUAGGUGCAGAAGAAGGACCGGCCAACUACGGGCCAGCCGCCGCCGUAA
rnacentral:rRNA from 1 species